UACGUAGGGGGCAAGCGUUGUCCGGAAUCAUUGGGCGUAAAGAGCGUGUAGGCGGCUCGAUAAGUCUGCUGUGAAAGUCCAGGGCUCAACCCUGGAAGGCCGGUGGAAACUGUGGGGCUAGAGUCCGGAAGAGGCGAGUGGAAUUCCCGGUGUAGCGGUGAAAUGCGCAGAUAUCGGGAGGAACACCAAUGGCGAAGGCAGCUCGCUGGGACGGUACUGACGCUGAGACGCGAAAGCGUGGGGAGCAAACAGG
rnacentral:rRNA from 1 species